GAUGAACGCUGGCGGCGUGCCUAAUACAUGCAAGUCGAGCGAACGGACGAGAAGCUUGCUUCUCUGAUGUUAGCGGCGGACGGGUGAGUAACACGUGGAUAACCUACCUAUAAGACUGGGAUAACUUCGGGAAACCGGAGCUAAUACCGGAUAAUAUUUUGAACCGCAUGGUUCAAAAGUGAAAGACGGUCUUGCUGUCACUUAUAGAUGGAUCCGCGCUGCAUUAGCUAGUUGGUAAGGUAACGGCUUACCAAGGCAACGACGCAUAGCCGACCUGAGAGGGUGAUCGGCCACACUGGAACUGAGACACGGUCCAGACUCCUACGGGAGGCAGCAGUAGGGAAUCUUCCGCAAUGGGCGAAAGCCUGACGGAGCAACGCCGCGUGAGUGAUGAAGGUCUUCGGAUCGUAAAACUCUGUUAUUAGGGAAGAACAUAUGUGUAAGUAACUGUGCACAUCUUGACGGUACCUAAUCAGAAAGCCACGGCUAACUACG
rnacentral:rRNA from 1 species